GACGAACGCUGGCGGCGUGCUUAACACAUGCAAGUCGAACGGAAAGGCCCUGCUUUUGUGGGGGGCUCGAGUGGCGAACGGGUGAGUAACACGUGAGUAACCUGCCCUUGACUGUGGGAUAACUUCAGGAAACUGGGGCUAAUACCGGAUAGGAGCUCCUGCUGCAUGGUGGGGGUUGGAAAGUUUCGGCGGUUGGGGAUGGACUCGCGGCUUAUCAGCUUGUUGGUGGGGUAGUGGCUUACCAAGGCUUUGACGGGUAGCCGGCCUGAGAGGGUGACCGGCCACAUUGGGACUGAGAUACGGCCCAGACUCCUACGGGAGGCAGCAGUGGGGAAUAUUGCACAAUGGGCGGAAGCCUGAUGCAGCAACGCCGCGUGCGGGAUGACGGCCUUCGGGUUGUAAACCGCUUUCGCCUGUGACGAAGCGUGAGUGACGGUAAUGGGUAAAGAAGCACCGGCUAACUACGUG
rnacentral:rRNA from 1 species